rnacentral:rRNA from 1 species
CCUACGGGAGGCAGCAGUGGGGAAUAUUGGGCAAUGGGCGAAAGCCUGACCCAGCAACGCCGCGUGAAGGAAGAAGGCUUUCGGGUUGUAAACUUCUUUUGACAGGGAAGAGCAGAAGACGGUACCUGUCGAAUAAGCCACGGCUAACUACGUGCCAGCAGCCGCGGUAAUACGGAGGUGGCAAGCGUUGUCCGGAUUUACUGGGGGUAAAGGGCGUGUAGCCGGGCUGACAAGUCAGAUGUGAAAUCCGGGGGCUCAACCCCCGAACUGCAUUUGAAACUGUUGGUCUUGAGUAUCGGAGAGGCAGGCGGAAUUCCUAGUGUAGCGGUGAAAUGCGUAGAUAUUAGGAGGAACACCAGUGGCGAAGGCGGCCUGCUGGACGACAACUGACGGUGAGGCGCGAAAGCGUGGGGAGCAAACAGGAUUAGAUACCCGAGUAGUC